rnacentral:rRNA from 1 species
AUGUUGGGUUAAGUCCCGCAACGCGCGCAACCCUUAUCCUUUGUUGCCAGCGGUCCGGCCGGGAACUCAAAGGAGACUGCCAGUGAUUAACUGGAGGAAGGUGGGGAUGACGUCAAGUCAUCAUGGCCCUUACGACCAGGGCUACACACGUGCUACAAUGGCAUAUACAAAGAGAAGCGACCUCGCGAGAGCAAGCGGACCUCAUAAUGUAUGUCGUAGUCCGGAUUGGAGUCUGCAACUCGACUCCAUGAAGUCGGAAUCGCUAGUAAUCGUAGAUCAGAAUGCUACGGUGAAUACGUUCCCGGGCCUUGUACACAC